GGACCUGUAGCUCAGGUGGUUAGAGCGCACGCCUGAUAAGCGUGAGGUCGGUGGUUCAAGUCCACCCAGGUCCA
rnacentral:tRNA from 1 species